UACGUAGGGGGCAAGCGUUGUCCGGAUUUAUCGUGGCGUAAAGAGCGUGUAGGCGGCCUGGUAGGUCAGCUGUGAAAACUCGAGGCUCAACCUCGAGACGCCGAUGGAAACCAUCUGGCUAGAGUCCGGAAGAGGAGAGUGGAAUUCCCGGUGUAGCGGUGAAAUGCGCAGAUAUCGGGAAGAACACCCGUGGCUAAGGCGGCUCUCUAGUACGGUACUGACGCUGAGACGCGAAAGCGUGGGGAGCGAACAGG
rnacentral:rRNA from 1 species